rnacentral:lncRNA from 1 species
AAUGAAUUAUGGAUCAUAAUCUCUUACUAUCUAAAAGUGACGAAUCCUCUAUUGGUCAUUCACAAUAUUCAUACGAUUCUUGACAGACCUGAACGAUGCCAUAUUAGCGGCUUUUGGCAGAGCAACAUCCAACACCGCCAAAAUAUGACUGUCCUCAUAUAAGGCACUAUGAUGAUCUCAAGUCAAAAGAUCAAUUCCACUAUCGAAGUUAGAGAUUAACCACUGGCACUUAGAUAGUUAUCCAUGUGGAAUCUCCCAGGGAGUCUCCAAUAUUUUGUUCUCUAACAAAACAUCCACGUGUUCAUAUAAGUGUUACCAUACUUUAAUUUGUAAGAUAUGCUACUUACUUCACAAGUAAAAAAU